rnacentral:rRNA from 1 species
GAUGAACGCUGGCGGCGUGCCUAACACAUGCAAGUCGAACGGGUGUACGGGAUGGAAGGCUCCGGCCGGAAGCCCCGUGCAUGAGUGGCGGACGGGGGAGUAACGCGUGGGCAACCUGCCCUGUACAGGGGGACAACACUUAGAAAUAGGUGCUAAUACCGCAUAACGGGGGGAGCCGCAUGGCAUCCCCCUGAAAACUCCGGUGGUACAGGAUGGGCCCGCGUCUGAUUAGCUUGUUGGCAGGGUAACGGCCUACCAAGGCGACGAUCAGUAGCCGGCCUGAGAGGGCGGACGGCCACACUGGGACUGAGACACGGCCCAG